UGGGGAAUUUUGGACAAUGGGCGAAAGCCUGAUCCAGCAAUGCCGCGUGAGCGAAGAAGGCCUUCGGGUUGUAAAGCUCUUUUGUCAGGGAAGAAACGGUGAAAGCUAAUAUCUUUUGCUAAUGACGGUACCUGAAGAAUAAGCACCGGCUAACUACGUGCCAGCAGCCGCGGUAAUACGUAGGGUGCAAGCGUUAAUCGGAAUUACUGGGCGUAAAGCGUGCGCAGGCGGUUUUGUAAGUCUGAUGUGAAAUCCCCGGGCUCAACCUGGGAAUUGCAUUGGAGACUGCAAGGCUAGAAUCUGGCAGAGGGGGGUAGAAUUCCACGUGUAGCAGUGAAAUGCGUAGAUAUGUGGAGGAACACCGAUGGCGAAGGCAGCCCCCUGGGUCAAGAUUGACGCUCAUGCACGAAAGCGUGGGGAGCAAACAGGAUUAGAUACCCUGGUAGUCCACGCCCUAAACGAUGUCUACUAGUUGUCGGGUCUUAAUUGACUUGGUAACGCAGCUAACGCGUGAAGUAGACCGCCUGGGGAGUACGGUCGCAAGAUUAAAACUCAAAUGAAUUGACGGGGUCAUAGCUG
rnacentral:rRNA from 1 species